GAAACCUGGAAUCACUUUGCACAACUAGCCUCUCCUGUCGUAAAUGGGGCUACUUGUGAGGAAGUGGCUUCCAUGAUUGAA
ensembl:miRNA aca-mir-5462 aca-mir-5462